UACGUAGGGGGGCGAGCGUUGUCCGAAGUUACUGGGCGUAAAGCGCGCGUAGGCGGCUUCUUAAGUCUGAGGUGAAAGGUUCAACGCUCAACGUGAACAGUGCCUUGGAUACUGGGAGGCUUGAGUAUGGGAGAGGGCAGUGGAAUGGCUGGUGUAGCGGUGAAAUGCGUAGAUAUCAGUCGGAACACCCAUGGCGAAGGCAGCUGCCUGGCCCUAAUACUGACGCUGAGGUGCGAAAG
rnacentral:rRNA from 1 species